CAGUUGGGAAUCUUCGGCAAUGACGAAAGUUUUGCCGAGCACGCCGCGGGAGUGAAGAAGAUUUGCGAUAGUAAAACUCUGUUGUUAGAGAAGAACAAGGAUGAGAGUAACUGUUCAUCCCUUGAUGGUAUCUAACCAGAAAGCCACGGCUAACUACGUGCCAGCAGCCGCGGUAAUACGUAGGUGGCAAGCGUUGUCCGGAUUUAUUGGGCGUAAAGCGAGCGCAGGCGGUUUCUUAAGUCUGAUGUGAAAGCCCCCGGCUCAACCGGGGAGUGUCAUUGGAAACUGAGAGACUUGAGUGCAGAAGAGGAGAGUGGAAUUCCAUGUGUAGCGGUGAAAUGCGUAGAUAUAUGGAGGAACACCAGUGGCGAAGGCGGCUCUCUGGUCUGUAACUGACGCUGAGGCUCGAAAGCGUGGGGAGCAAACCAGGAUUAGAUACCCUGGUAGUCCACGCCGUAAACGAUGAGUGCUAAGUGUUGGAGGGUUUCCGCCCUUCAGUGCUGCAGCUAACGCAUUAAGCACUCCGCCUGGGGAGUACGACCGCAAGGUUGAAACUCAAAGGAAUUGACGGGGGCCCGCACAAGCGGUGGAGCAUGUGGUUUAAUUCGAAGCAACGCGAAGAACCUUACCAGGUCUUGACAUCCUUUGACCACUCUAGAGAUAGAGCUUCCCCUUCGGGGGCAAAGUGACAGGUGGUGCAUGGUUGUCGUCAGCUCGUGUCGUGAGAUGUUGGGUUAAGUCCCGCAACGAGCGCAACCCUUAUUGUUAGUUGCCAUCAUUCAGUUGGGCACUCUAGCAAGACUGCCGGUGACAAACCGGAGGAAGGUGGGGAUGACGUCAAAUCAUCAUGCCCCUUAUGACCUGGGCUACACACGUGCUACAAUGGGAAGUACAACGAGUUGCGAAGUCGCGAGGCUAAGCUAAUCUCUUAAAGCUUCUCUCAGUUCGGAUUGCAGGCUGCAACUCGCCUGCAUGAAGCCGGAAUCGCUAGUAAUCGCGGAUCAGCACGCCGCGGUGAAUACGUUCCCGGGCCUUGUACACACCGCCCGUCACACCACGAGAGUUUGUAACACCCGAAGUCGGUGAGGUAACCUUUUGGAGCCAGCCGCCUAA
rnacentral:rRNA from 1 species